AUCGGCGCGCGCAGCUGCCGUCGCGGAGAGAUGAUGUUUAGGUCUGGGACUGUCAGGCAGUGAGCGGCCAGGUACCCGCCGAGGGGCCCGCGGGGCCGGCGCCGCCAUGGCGGCCGUGUUUGAUUUGGAUUUGGAGACGGAGGAAGGCAGCGAGGGCGAGGGCGAGCCAGAGCUCAGCCCCGCGGACGUGUGUCCCCUUGCUGAGUUGAGGGCAGCUGGCCUAGAGCCUGUGGGACACUACGAAGAGGUGGAGCUGACUGAGACCAACGUGAACCUUGGCCCAGAGCGCAUCGGGCCCCACUGCUUUGAGCUGCUUCGUGUGCUGGGCAAGGGGGGCUAUGGCAAGGUGUUCCAGGUGCGAAAGGUGCAAGGCACCAACUUGGGCAAAAUAUAUGCCAUGAAAGUCCUAAGGAAGGCCAAAAUUGUGCGCAACGCCAAGGACACAGCACACACACGGGCUGAGCGGAACAUUCUAGAGUCAGUGAAGCACCCCUUUAUUGUGGAACUGGCCUAUGCCUUCCAGACUGGUGGCAAACUCUACCUCAUCCUUGAGUGUCUCAGUGGUGGCGAGCUCUUCACGCAUCUGGAGCGAGAGGGCAUCUUCCUGGAAGAUACGGCUUGCUUCUACCUGGCGGAGAUCACGCUGGCCCUGGGCCAUCUCCACUCGCAGGGCAUCAUCUACCGGGACCUCAAGCCCGAGAACAUCAUGCUCAGCAGCCAGGGCCACAUCAAACUGACCGACUUUGGACUCUGCAAGGAGUCGAUCCAUGAGGGUGCCGUCACUCACACCUUCUGCGGCACCAUUGAGUACAUGGCCCCUGAGAUUCUGGUGCGCAGUGGCCACAACCGGGCUGUGGACUGGUGGAGCCUGGGGGCCCUGAUGUACGACAUGCUCACUGGAUCGCCGCCCUUCACUGCAGAGAACCGGAAGAAAACCAUGGAUAAGAUCAUCAAGGGCAAGCUGGCGCUGCCCCCCUACCUCACCCCAGAUGCCCGGGACCUUGUCAAAAAGUUUCUGAAACGGAAUCCCAGCCAGCGGAUUGGGGGUGGCCCAGGGGAUGCUGCUGAUGUGCAGAGACAUCCCUUUUUCCGGCACAUGAAUUGGGACGACCUUCUGGCCUGGCGUGUUGACCCCCCUUUCAGGCCCUGUCUGCAGUCAGAGGAGGACGUGAGCCAGUUUGAUACCCGCUUCACACGGCAGACGCCGGUGGACAGUCCCGAUGACACGGCCCUCAGCGAGAGUGCCAACCAGGCCUUCCUAGGCUUCACGUACGUGGCGCCGUCUGUCCUGGACAGCAUCAAGGAGGGCUUCUCCUUCCAGCCCAAGCUGCGCUCACCCAGGCGCCUCAACAGUAGCCCCCGGGCCCCCAUCAGGCCGCAUGGGGACCUGCUCUGGGCUGGAUACCUCUCCACAUCGCUGCUCGCCUUCCCCAGGGUCAGCCUGCAGGCCACCAUCCGCGACGUUGUCAUAGUCUGCAUCCUGCUCAUCCUCCUGUCGCUCAAGGCUGUCCGCCCAGGUUCCAGGAAUGCAAGUUCCCGCUCACAGGAAGACCAGGUAAGGGCCUUCCCAGGGCUCCUGACGGGGGCCUGGUCCGGUAAGGGGUGCUGGGGGCCAUGCCCGGAGUCCCAGGGAGCCCAGCUCAGGUGAGAGAAAGGUCCAGCCUCUGCCAUACUCCUCUUAGGUCUCACCUCUUCCUUGGGGCCAGUGUGGGGCCCUCCUCAGCUCCACAGGCCCAGACAUUCUAGCCCCGACCGCCUGUGGCCCCCAUCCCAAGAACCCAGGGGGCUCCGAGGCUCACCAUUGGUCCGCAGGCCCCUCCGCGCCGGGCACCCACCUCCAGCUCUGGCUGUGUUGAGCGAGAAGUGAGCUCAGUGCUCGUCUGCAGUGAAGGGUGGCCCGGGCUUCCGCUUCCUGCCCACAUACCCCACCUACCCCUCCCUGCUGCAGGACCCCUGGUCCACACCAGACCCUCCCCAGUCUCUCUGGAGGAGGCUAGGCUGCCGGGCCUGUCCUCCAAGGGAGAAGCAGCACCAACUUGAAGCUGGAUGCAGCCUUGCAUGUGUUCUCAGGUCUUCUGCCUCAGUUUCCCUGCCUGACAAUCCAGGGGAACAAUGUCUGUGGGGUUGCUCACUGCCCCGAGACCGUCUGCACAUGUGUGACUCCUGUGACAUCAUCUGUCUCCAGGUUUCCAGACUUCUCAGCCCCACCCUUGCAGCGGCAGGUCAGCCUGACUUUUAGAAAGAGAAUUUUAUUUGGAAUGAAAAUAUAGAGCCCACCCUCCUGCCUCCUCUGGGGAGGGAGCAGAGGGCUGGGCAGUGGCCGGGGAGAUGGUCCCUCAGAGGUCGAGGAGCUCGCCUGGGCAUAGACAUCCUCCACAGGAACAGUGAGGAAAGCUGGGCGCUGGCUUUGGCCUGGGCCUGGGAUGGGUCGGGGUGGGAACUGACCCCUGCGCUGCUCGGAGGCUCUGGGCAGCCAGCUAGCCCGGUGCAACCCGCUGGCAGAAGCUGAGUGGGAAGGGGGCGGAGGAGGACAUGAAGGUGGCGCGUGGCUGUGGCCCUACGCAUCCCCAUUCUCCAUGCGGCCCAGCUGCUCCUCCAGGCGGCAGAUGCGCUCCCCCUGCUCCUUGACUAGCGCCCUCAGGGCCCGCAGCUCCUGCAUCACCUCCUCCAGCUUCCCAGCCUCCUGUGGGGACAUGAAGCAGGGGUAGGGGGUGGUGGUCAGGGGCUGCUAAGCCAUAGCCCUCCCAAACCCACCACUACCCCAGAGAGGGAGAGCGAAUGGCCCAGGCCCACACAGCAGGCCAGGACCACACGUUGGGCUCCCAGCACCACCCCUGCCUGCGCGUGCAUACCCCAGCUCUGGCCAGGCUGCCGCUGGGGGUGGCAUCAGCAGCAGUGGUAGUGGAUGCAGGGGCCCCUAGGCGGGAGGAGCCCGGGGCCAUGGCGGGCCGGCUGUCAGACAACACGUUGCGCCGGCUGAUCUUCAGGUCCCGCUGCUUGCUGGGCACGUAGGCCUCCCUCAGUGAGAUGAGGAUCGGGUGGGCAUCCCGCCCACUCACCCACUCCUCAGCCUCCAGGGCUGCCUCAGGCCCGGCUGUGUCGGGGUACAGAUCAUCCUGGAAGAGGUCCGACUGGGCAGGGGGCCGGGGAGAUCAGGAUCAAUUAGGAGGCCCCAUCAGGGUCCCCUCGUCCCUCCCCUGGCCUCCAGGCUUGCGCUCUGUUAACCCAUUCUCCCACGGCCUGGCCCCGAGGGGCCUUUCGAAAGCUCAGAUCUGGCCUUGCACUUCCCAUCUGGACACCAUCAACAGCUCCCUCAGAAGCUCUCCCACCCUUCUGAGCAAGGCCCCUGUCAUUACCUUCCCCUGCAAACCACAGGGGCCACUAUGUGGCUUUGUGGGAUUCUGGGGCCCAUGGACUGUGAGCUCCUGGAGCAGGCCCUAUCAGCUCAGCUCCACUCCCCGAAAUGUGCCUGGCAUGUUGAAAGAGCAGUCGGCAAAUGCUGGCCAGAGAAUCAUGGAAGUGUGUCCGAGGCUCUUGGCAUCUGAAGCCAAGCCGCAUGUGGCCUGGUCCCCUCUUCAUGGGAUUCCCCACUGCAGCCAGACUCCAUGUUCCUCUCUCCAUUCCCACCACUGUGCCCUUCGCCUGGCCUGCCCCCAGUGGAUGGUGCCACCCCAGCUGUGCUUUGGGUCCUGCCUCCUUCAGGAAGAUCUCCGUGGCUGCCACUCCCUCCCUGACUGCCUGGUGUCCUUCUCCUGUGGCUCAUCCAGAGCAGGGUACCUGCUCACCCUGUGUCUCAUCCCCACUUGCCCCCUGACUGGCACAUCCCAACAGCUGGCUGGUACAAGGGCAAGCUGGCAUCUGUCCAGCUCACUGCCCACAAACCAUACUAGGUCAUGUUCCAUUCACAGGCCUCGUCCUGGUCACAACUGCAUGGCGUGCUUGCUGGAGAAAGGGCCAAGUGAGCAGAGGGACGGGCGGCCUCACCUUUCUUGGCACAGUCAUGACGAUGGGCUCACACUUGCGCUCAUGCAGUUUGUAGAACCUGGGGAUGCGAGGAGGAGCCAUGGGUGGAACCCUCACCGCCCCCCUACCCACCGCCAGCUCUCCUGGCAUCCUCCACUUCCAGUCCUCACCUCAGGACCUCCGCAGGCUGACCCCUAAGGUGGCUAGACCCCCACCCAGGCUGCCUCGUGACAGUUCCCAUGGCCUGCCGGGCCUCCCUGGCACAAGGUUUCCUGCUCCCAAGCAGCCUCCAAUGACCUGACCUCUCACCUUAGAUGCCCCUGUCCCCGAGUGGCCUCUGUAGCCCUCUUACCGGGCUAUCUCGCACUUGCUGACCUCCAGGCCCCGCUUGGGCAUGCUGCCCAUACCCCGCUGCGGCUCCUUGCUGGUGAAUGUGUUCAGGAAGUGGAUGUAGGGGGGCUCCUCUGUGAUCUCAAAGUACCGGAUGCUGGAGUCACCCUGUGUGGGGAGGGGGCUCAGCACCCGGGCACGCCUCUUCCCUGCCCCUCACCAGCCCUGCCCAGCCCCACCUUGCCACAGACGUAGACCACACUUGUGUCGGGGUCGUAGAAGGGCAGCAGGGCCCCGUUGCUCGAGUCCAGUUCCUGCAGGGCCAUGGGUUCCUCGAGGUUUUCCUGGCACAUUGGGGGCAGUCAGGCCAAGCAGAACCUCCUCACCCCCUAAUCCCAAACCAGGAUGGGUCUUAGCUGGCCUCACUAAGGCCAGCCAGCACUGCCCCUAAAUGCAGGUGGGCCCUCUGCCACCUCUAUGCCUUUUCCCACACGACGACCCCCACCUGGCCCUCCUAGCUUCACUUUAUUCCCAAGGUCCCUCUUUUCCAGCCUCCUCCAGGCCUUAAGACUAUGCCCAGGCCACUGGGCAAGUGCUGAAACAUACCCCACCAUGGGGAGCUGGGGUGCCAGUGGCACCAGCCCCUGCUCAAGGGGCCCUGGAGGUCACUGCAGAAGCAGAGAGGGCUGGUGGAGAGGAUGCUUCAGGGCAGGGCCAGGAGGCUCGCUGGAGGAGGAGGCUUUCUGGAGGAGCUGGGAGCCCUUCACAGGCAGUGGGUGGUACAGGCAAGCAAGGGAGAGAAGGGCCCUCCCACUGGCAUGAACAACAUGGGCAAAGACACGGAGGCAGUGGGAGGCCAUGGGGGAGUGGCGGGGCAGUCGGGCGAGCAGGGGGCAAGAGAGGAAAGUCUGACAGAGUCCCAGGCCCUGAGAGACUCAAGUGCCAGGCAGAGAACCUAGGAACCACAGGCCUCCCCAGGGUGAACUCUGCCUGCCCGGCCCAGGGUGGGGCCCAAGUCUCAAGUUUGCCCCCUCAGGCUGGCCACUCACUGGGUCCCAGAGCGCCAGCUGUCGCUCGCUCAUUCGGCUGAAGCCCGUGGUGAACACCUUGCCAUCUGCCAGGAAGAUGGCCCGCAUGGGCCGGGCCCCCUCAUGAGCCUUCUCCCGCUCCUGUCGGGGGGGACAGGCUGGUCAGUGCAGCGCCCUGUUCAAGGCCCUGGGCCUAUCCACAGCCAUCCUUGCCCUCCAGGGCCACGUACUGCCACCAGGGUGCCCCGACGGGGGUCGAUGAUGCGCACGCUCUUGUCCUUGCACGCUGAGCAAAACAGGCUGCCGUUGCGGUUCCAGCUGACGUUGUAGAUGAGGUCAGGGUGCAGGCUGUCCAGGCGGUACAGCUCCUCCGCUGUGCCCACGUUCCAAAUGAGUACCACGUUGUCGCAGCCUGGCAGGUGAGGGCUGUCAGCUCGGGCCGAGCGGGUGGCAGGAGGCCAUUAGCUCACCAGGCUGAGGCCCAUUCUGCCCACCACCCUGGGACAGACGGGUCUCUCUAACUCUGAGGGCCUCAGCUUUCCCAUCUGUCAUGUGGGCCCUGGAGAGGCUGCUGGGAUGUAUGGAGGGGUCCGUGGGGAGGGGGACAAAAUGGGGGGUGGUGCAGACCUGCACUGAGCAGCACGUUUCGGGCCGUGGGGUGCCAGGCGAUGAUGCCCACUCGCUUGGUGUGCCCCUCCAGUACCACCACCGGCUCUGUCAGCGGGGAGGUCAGCCCGUUCUCUGGGAUCUGCCACACCUGUGGUAGGGACAAGGCCACCGAGCUCAGUCCUCUGCUAGUCCUAUGGCUGGCCCCCUUGGGCCAUGCCCGUGACCCUGGCCCAGCCAGUCCUGUGCCUCACCAUGACCGUGCAGUCCUCCGAGCCGCUGGCUAUGACUUCGUCGUUGUGGGGACACCAAUCGAUGUCCAGGACAGGUCCCGUGUGCCCGCACACUGUCGGGUAGGCCUUGUCAAUGCGGCCCGUCUGUGGGCACGAGGGGGCAGUCAGGGGGCUCCAUCCCUCCCGGAGCCUUGGUUUUCCCCUCCAUGGAGUGAGAAUGACAUGCAAGUCCCGGCUCACAGGUGGCCCAGAUGUGACUGUGCCCCACUUGCCAGGUGAGCAGGAAAUGUUUGCUGCCUCUAACCCUGACUCUAUGGCAACAGGCCACUCUCCAUUUGUGCUAACACUUGGGGCAAUAAAUCUGGGUUAUAACGCCUGCCCACCAGUGUGAGAAAUGGCAAGAUGACGGUUUCAAGGUGCGCACAAAGGCCCAGCAGGGGUGGCCGAGGUGCCUCCUCUUCCCCCAACCCUGACAGGACCCACCUUGCUUAGGGGGAGCACCAGAAAGGCACCCCCUCCACUGGCCUCCACGAUCACCGCCAGGAACUUGGGGUUGACGGCGCAGAAGGUGCUGUCCCAGGUAACACGGGACACGCGAAUGUCCUCAUAGCACUGGUCGUUCUUGACCGGCUGCCCGAACACAUGCCGGAAUUUGCUCUGCCGGACCACUUUGCGGAAGGACAUGUCUGCGGGACAGAGAGGCCUGGGUCAGUCCAGCCCAUCCCAACAACUCCAGCCCUCCCUAGGCUGCUGAAGUGGCAUCCGCAGGAGUCUUCAGGAUUGGGUGAGGCCCCGCCUUCCCGUCCCCCGACCGAACGCACACCUCCAAGGGGCCCCAUUACCGCCCCCAACAAAUAAAUGUGGAAUCUACACAGACA